GACGAACGCUGGCGGCGUGCUUAACACAUGCAAGUCGAACGGAAAGGCCCUGCUUUUGUGGGGUGCUCGAGUGGCGAACGGGUGAGUAACACGUGAGUAACCUGCCCUUGACUUUGGGAUAACUUCAGGAAACUGGGGCUAAUACCGGAUAGGAGCUCCUGCUGCAUGGUGGGGGUUGGAAAGUUUCGGCGGUUGGGGAUGGACUCGCGGCUUAUCAGCUUGUUGGUGGGGUAGUGGCUUACCAAGGCUUUGACGGGUAGCCGGCCUGAGAGGGUGACCGGCCACAUUGGGACUGAGAUCGGGCCCAGACUCCUCCGGGAGGCAGCAGUGGGGAAUAUUGCACAAUGGGCGGAAGCCUGAUGCAGAAACGCCGCGUCCGGGAUGACGGCCUUCGGGUUGUAACCCGCUUUCGCCUGUGACGAAGCGUGAGUGACGGUAAUGGGUAAAGAAGCACCGGCUAACUACGUG
rnacentral:rRNA from 1 species